CUAAACAGAAGCUUUGCACUGCUUCUCCCCCAUCUAGAUGAUAGAAAAAGGUUACUUCCAAGAAGCUUCCCGGAUGAGAAGCAAAAGAUUGAAGAUCUGACAAGAUUGACAAGAUUUUUGAAAUACUUCUAGGGCUUGGCCAGCUACGUCAGCCAUUUGUCAAUGCAUGUGUCAUAGACGGUGCGGUUGGAGUGCCAGUUCGUGUGAGAGACAUUGGCCAU